CCUUGAACUAGACUGCAUUUGCAGUUAGUUAACUCCUGGAAAAUCACAAACUCCAAGCUUCCUUCUCAACUCCCUAAAUGACUCCCACAUUCCAUUCUUCUCAAUUGAUCUCAUUUAUCCAUCCAUGGUUGCUCUCAAUUUCUCCUCCUUUACUGCUUCAUCAAACGAAGUAGGAUCAGAAUGAACGACAUGAGAAAACAAGACUAAGUGAGUUUGUACCUCUUCCUCUUUAUAGGAAAGACCUUCACCAGGGACACAAUCAUUCAUCCAUCCUGGAGCUCUUCUAUUUCGGGGCUCUGUUACUGGAUAAGCUGCAUUUCUUCUUCAUUACAAUCAUUCAAUUCCUCUUUCUCUUCACUUUUCUCAUCUUCCUAUUCCAAAUCAAAUGUGUUACCUUCUUCAGAGCUCUUCUCCCAAUUCCAUUGCUUGUCUUCUUCAAAGAAGACAUCCCGACUGAUAAUAAUCCUCUUGGAGGUAGGAUCAUAUAGUCGGUAUGCAUUUGAUUCUUCACUUACACCAAAAAGAACACAACAACGACUCUCAUCUUCAAGUUUUAUUCGUCAAGCAUCCAAUACAGGAACAUAUGCUAUACAACCAAAGACUCUCAAGUGCCCGACUGAAGGCUUCAGCCCACACCAAGCUUCAUCUGGCGUCGUUUCCUUCACUGGUAAUGUUGGACAUCUAUUAAAAACAUAGAAUGCCCAGUACACCGUCUCUACUCAGAAUUUUCUUGGAACAUUUUUCUCAAUCAAUAAGCUCCUCACCAUAUUCAUCACAAUUCUAUUCUUCUAUUCGGAGACUCUAUUCUGUCGCGGUGUAUAUGCAUCAGUUAAUUGCCUCUUGAUCCCAUUCAUUUCACAAUAUUCCUUGAACUCAUCUGAUAUGAAUUCACCUCAAUGAUUCGUUCUUAGACAUUUAAUGGAUAGACACGUUUCUUUUUCAGCAAAAGCUUUAAAUAGCUUAAAGGUAGUGAAUGCAUCUGACUUAUAAGCAAGAAAAUACGCCCACGCAUUUCUACUAUCGUCAUCAAUGAAGCAAAUGAAAUACCUUUUGUUGCCCUCUAAAAACGGAGAAAUUGGGCCACAAAUAUCAGCGUGGACCAACUCCAACUUUGUUGAUGUUCUUCAUUACUUCUCCUUGGGAUUACAUCUCGAUGUUGAUUCCCUUUCAAGCAAUCAGUGCACACAAUUUCACCCUCAUAAAAACUUGGGGAACUAUGGCUCCAAGACGCGAGAGACUUGUUGCUACUGAGAAUCCUAAGAUGGCCCAAAUGGUACAAGCUAUGAUAGAUAUUGCCGUUGUUGUUGCUACGCAAACUGUUGCGAAUAACCAAUGUGACUUGGAGAAACAAGCGAGAGAAGCAAGAGCCGCAUAAGCCACGGGCUGAUAGAAUUCUGUCAACAUGAUCCUACCAAGUUUCAAGUGGAUGUCAUUCCUGAAAAGGCUGAUUUGUGGCUACGAGUUGUAGAAAAUAUUUUCAAGGUAGCUCGUUGCUACAAGGGGUGAAAGUGAACUAUGCUACCUACUUGCUUGUCGGAGUUUCUAAAUAUUGGUGGAAGAGCGCCAAGUUGACGAUGUAAGCUGCUCUUGAAGAGGUACUUUGGAUUCCUUAUAAAAAAAAUUUCUGGAUAAGUAUUUCCCUAUGAGUGUUAGGAAAAAAUUGGGAGACGAUUUCUUGAAGCUCCAUUAGGGGAAUAUCAAUAUGACUGUUGGAAAAUAUGCAGCAAAAUUAGAGUCCCGAUAUUUCCGAUUCUUCCGUCAAAUUGUGUGAGAUGACAAAAUAUGAUAUUAAAGACUCAGUGCUAUCCUUGCGGAUAAAAAACUUUCAAGCUUUGGUUGACAAAAUUAGAGAGGUUGAAUAAAUGGAGUAUCAGAGGACUCCUGGAUGUCACAACAGUUCGGAAGGUUUGACAACUUUUUGACAAAUGUACUAAAUAGUUCAAAUAAUAAAGUGAUAAGUAGAUAAUGUCUUCA